UACGUAGGGGGCUAGCGUUGUCCGGAAUCAUUGGGCGUAAAGCGCGCGUAGGCGGCCCGGUAAGUCCGCUGUGAAAGUCCAGGGCUCAACCCUGGAAAGCCGGUGGAUACUGCCGGGCUAGAGUCCGGGAGAGGCGAGUGGAAUUCCUGGUGUAGCGGUGGAAUGCGCAGAUAUCAGGAGGAACACCGAUGGCGAAGGCAGCCCCCUGGGCUAACACUGACGCUCAGGCACGAAAGCGUGGGGAGCAAACAGG
rnacentral:rRNA from 1 species